GAGGCAGUGAGGUACUAUGGGAAGGCUCCCAGGGAUGAAACGGGAACCAUUUGUCUAAUGGUGACAUCCUAUCUGUGUAAAUCUACUCUAAUAGAGAUUCUGUGUCCUGCACAGCAGCUGCAAGUGAGGAUCCUACCAUGAGAGCAUCUCUGCCCAUCAGCCGCAGCCCAGAGAGAACACCGUGGGAGGUGCACCCUGACUGUAGAGUGCCACUCCUGCAGUUUGGACCUCAUUGCUUUGCCGACCUGAGGCCCAUGCAAGCCCUUCCAUGCGGCAGAGCCUCUUGACGGCUCCUCCCAACUCCCUUAGUCAUGAACUCCCCCUCCCCCUCCAUCUCCAAGGCAGUGCUGGCUUCUCUAUUUUGCUCAGUGUGGGCAUCACUUUCUCUCUGCUUUUAGGAGGCAUCCCUGCAGCAUUUUAGCAGCGUCUCCCAGGGAGUUUGCUAUGGUAUUAAAUCCUGCCUCCCAGGGGCGGGCACCGAUAUUGAUACUUUCCCUUAUACUACUUUAUGUUCUGUCUCCUUGCCUAAGCAGCCUGAGGUCCACUCUCAGGCACAUACCCAGGCUCCUCUCAGCAUGGACCCUCUACAAACACCUGGCAGCUCCCCCACCUUGUCAGACAGCGGCAGCCCCAUGCUGGCCAGGGUUAGGGGAUGUUGUCAGCUCCAGUGGCCUGGGCUGGUUGAGUAGCUCUUUCUUUUUCUGGGGAUCAGUACUCUGAAGUCCCCCAGGUGCCCACAGAAAGAAGUCACCUUCUCUAGUGUCAGCCUUGGCAGUUGUAAGGCCAUGCUGUGGCUCUUCAUCUGCUGUCUAUUUCUGUUUUAUUUUCAUUUGGUUCAAAACAGGGCAUGGAGAAGAAUUCGCCACCCUACAACAGUCUGCUUUUAUCAUGCAACUUGCUAAUAAUACCUACCCUUCCGGGUGGUUAUGAGGGUGAUGAUAUGGAUUGUGUAAAGUGUCAAUAUAUAAUAGAUGACAUGACAGGUACAUUUUAGACCACUCUCACCCCAGCACCAAAUUAAACAUGAGAGUGGAACUACCUGGGCCCCCCAGGGCCUACCAAAAGCCUAGAACUGAUCAGCUACUAGCACCAGAAUGGGGUGAACCAGGACCCAAACCUAGAAGCAAACUUGCCCUCUGGAGGAACCAGGUCUAAGGAGACACAAGCCUUGACAUAAAGGAACAGAGUGGGGGUCUUCUGGUCUGGCCAGCAGAGUCUGCACUCUUAUUAGCUUUUUAUUUUAUUUCAUUUCAUUUCAUUUCAUUUCAUUUCAUUUCAUUUCAUUUCAUUUCAUUUUAUUUUAUUUUAUUUUAUUCUAUUCUACCUAAUAAACUACCUCAA
rnacentral:lncRNA from 1 species